rnacentral:rRNA from 1 species
CCUACGGGGGGCAGCAGUGGGGAAUAUUGGACAAUGGGGGCAACCCUGAUCCAGCCAUGCCGCGUGUGUGAAGAAGGCCCUCGGGUUGUAAAGCACUUUCAGUGAGGAAGAACGCCUGGUGGUUAAUACCCAUCAGGAAAGACAUCACUCACAGAAGAAGCACCGGCUAACUCCGUGCCAGCAGCCGCGGUAAUACGGAGGGUGCGAGCGUUAAUCGGAAUUACUGGGCGUAAAGCGCGCGUAGGUGGCUUGAUAAGCCGGUUGUGAAAGCCCCGGGCUCAACCUGGGAACGGCAUCCGGAACUGUCGAGCUAGAGUGCAGGAGAGGAAGGUAGAAUUCCCGGUGUAGCGGUGAAAUGCGUAGAGAUCGGGAGGAAUACCAGUGGCGAAGGCGGCCUUCUGGACUGACACUGACACUGAGGUGCGAAAGCGUGGGUAGCAAACAGGAUUAGAUACCCUAGUAGUC